ACUGUCCCCUUUUUCCUGAUUAUUAUUUAUAAGGUAAUAUAAAAUGUAAGAGAUUAAUAAAUAGAUACUGUAGAUUUUUGGUCUUACCAUUUUUGUCUGCUCUCCUCAGUAUCUGGAAAGGAAAAAGGAAAAAAUUUUAUCAGCAUUUUAGAUAAAUAUUGCAACGAACGUUACACUUACACAUAAUUUAUUCAUAAUUAAAUAAAAUACAUUCUAAUUUUAAGUAAGCGUUUCCCAAUUGAGAUCUUUCUUUAUAAUAUCUAAAACCUGAAAAUGACCCAAAUGUCCAUGGAUAAACAAACCGUGAAUGAACAAACCAACUGUGGUAUAGCCAUACAAUAGAAUACUACUGAGCAAUAAAAAUGAAUGAGCUAUUUAUACACACAACAACUUGGAUAGAACCAAAAAUAACUAGGCUGAGUAGAAAACCUAGAUGCAAAAUAAUACCUACUUAUAAUUCCAUUUAUAUAAAAUUCUUAAAAAUGCAAACUAAUCUAUAGGGACAGAAAACAGAUUAAGCUUCCUAGGAAUGGGCAGGGCAGGGGAGGGUGGAUUACAAGAGGAUGUAAGAAAACUUUUGCAGGUGAUAGAGAUAGUUAUUAUCUUGAAUGUGGUAAUGGUUUCAUAUAUGUUAAAACUCAUCAAGUUUACACUUUACAUAUGUGCACAUUAAUGUAAGUCAAUCAUACCUCAAUAAAACUGGGAUUCAACAAAACAUAAAAGAAAAAUAAUACAUCAUGGGUAAAGAGUAACCACAUGUCUAUGCUAUAUCUACUUUAUUUAUACUUUAUUAAUCAUAUUAUCUUGGACGUAUUUUAAAUUGUCUUGAUGUAUAAGAACUAUUUGGCCAUCCGGUAUCCAUUACUCUUUAGUAAUGAUUUCUAAUGUUCUUCUGGAAAGCCUACAUUUCCUACAUGCUUGGCCUAGGUGCUCCAGUGUUGGGCAGGGCACUUAUGUCUGACAAACACGGUGUCAUAUCCCUCUGGUCACGGUGACUGCUCAGGGAUGAGCACAUUAGGGCCAGUGAAUGACAGGUCAUGGUUUUGCCUGAGUGGUUAGGAGAGAGACAUACUCUUCUUUCUGCUGACUUUGAACCUAGGAAUAUAUAGGCAAUGCACUGCUGUCAUUCGUUUUGUUAUUGGAUAUAUUGUAGGUUGAAUUGUGUCCUCCAAAACCAAAUGUUGAAAUCCUAAUGCUCAGUAUCCACGAAUGUAACUUUAUCUGGAAAUAGGGGUUUGGGAGGAAAAGACUUUGAUAAAAUCCAACCUUCCUUCAUGAUAAAAACUCUGAACAAACUAGGCAUUGAAGGAACAUACCUCAAAAUAAUAAGAGCCAUCUAUGCCAAACCCACAGCCAACAUCACACUAAACAGGCAAAAGCUGGAAGCAUCUCCUUGAAUGCUAGAACUAGAACUGGAACUGGAACAAGACAAGGACGCCCACUCUCACCACUCCUAUUCAACAUAGUACUGGAAGUCCUUGCCAGAGCAAUCAGGCAAGAGAAAGAAAUAAAAGGCAUCCAAAUAGCAAAAUAAGAAGCCAAAUGGUCUCUCUUCACUGACGAUAUAAUCUUAUACCUAGAAAACUCAAAGACUCCACCAAAAGCCUCCUGGGACUGAUAAACGACUUCAAUAAAGUUUCAGGAUAUAAAAUAAAGGUACAAAACUCAGUAGCAUAUCUAUGCAGCAAUAGCAUUCAAUCUGAGAGACAAAUCAAGAAUGCAAUCCCAUUUACAAUAGCUACACAAAAAAUAAAAUACCUAGGAAUACAUUUAACCAAAGAAGUGAAAGACUUCCACAAGGAGAACUACAAAACACUGCUGAAAGAAAUCAUAGAUGACAGAAACAAAUGGGGAAACAUUCCAUGCUCAAGAAUUGGAAGAAUCAAUAUUGUUAAAAUGGCCAUACUACCCAAAGCAAUGUAUACAUUCAAUACUAUUCCUAUCAAACUACCAAUGUCAUUUUUUACAGAAUUAGAAAAAACUGUUCUAAAAUUCAUAUGGAACCAAAAUGGAGCCUGAAUAGCCAAAGCAAUUCUAAACAAAAAGAACAAAGCUGGAAGCAUCACAUUACUUGACUUCAAACUAUACAGUAAGGCUACAGUAGACAAAACAGCAUGGUACUGGUACAAAAAACAGAUACAAAAAUGAAACAGAAUAGAGAACCCAGCAAUAAAGCUGUACACUUACAGCCAGCUGAUCUUCAACAAAAUCAACAAAAAUAAAUAAUGGGGAAAGGAUUCCCUAUUCAAUAAAUGGUGCUGGGAUAGCUAGUAGGUCAUAUGCAGAAGAAUGAAACUGGAGCACUAUCUAAUACUAUAGACAAAAAUUAACUCAAGAUGGAUUAAAAAUUUCGAUAUAAGACCUCACACUAUAAAAAUCCUAUAAGAAAACCUAGAAAAUAUCAUUCUUGACAUUGAGAAAAAAUUGGCCUUGAGAAAAAAGUUAUAACUAAGUUCUCAAAAGGAAUUGCAACAAAAACAAAAAUUGACAAGUGGGACCUAAUUAAACUAAAGAGCUGGAGCACAGGAAAAUGAACUAUCAACAGAGUAAACAGAGAAUCUAAAGAAUGGGAGAAAAUAUUCACCAACUAUGUAUUCAACAUAUUACUAAUAUACAGAAUCUGUAAAAAUUAUAUUUCAAAAAACAAAAAAGAACCCCAUUAAGAAGUGGGCAAAAGACAUGAACAGACACUUCUCAAAAGAAGACAUACAAGUGGCCAACAAACAUACGAAAAAAUGCUCAACAUCACUAAUCAUCAGAGAAAUGCAAAUCAAAACCACAAUAUGCUAUCAUCUCACACCAGUCAGAAUGGCUAUUAUCAGAAAGUCAAAAAAAACACAACCACAUUCUGGAGCUGCUGCAGAGAAAAGGGAAUGCCUAUAUACAGUUGGUGGGGAUGUAAAUUAGUCUAGCCUAUGGAAAGCAGUUUGGAGAUUUCUCAGAGAACUUAAAACAGAACUACCAUUUGACUCUGCAAUCCCGUUACUGAGUAUAUAUUCAAAAGUAAAUAAAUCAUUGUACCAAAAAGACACAUGGCACUCGUAUAUUCAUUGCAGCAUUAUUCACAAUAGCAAAAAUACUAAAUCAACUUAAGUGCCCAUCAGUGGUCAAUUGGAUAAAGAAAAUGUGGUACAUAUACAUCAUGGAA
rnacentral:lncRNA from 1 species